AUUAUAACGGUUUUUGAUAAUUCUUUUGUGCAACAAAAAGUAAAUGAAGAAAGCCAAACGUGUGUAAAAGUUAAAUAAGUGUGAUUUUUACUGACAAUAACUUAAUAAUAUUUCAAAUAAUAUAAAAUGGAUAGAUUUUUAAACAAAAAACAAAAACCCAGUGAAGCAGAUGAUACUGAAGACGCUUCUACUAGCAAUGAAAAAACUAAAAAUCAAUCAAUAAAAAGAAAAUUUCGGGCAGAAUGAUUACAUUCUUUCGAUUGGCUUCGGGAAAAGAAUGGUAAUGCAUAUUGUAUUGCAUGUUCAAGACAGAUAGUGAGCAAUUGUAGCCACCUUAAGGCGCACGAGAAAUCACUUUCCAUCUUCAAAACUAUGAAAGCCAGAAAAAUCAAUAUACAAAUUUUACAACAACGAUCAACAAAGUCUAAGCCGACAAGUCAGAAAUGCUGAACUUACCCUUAACACAUAACUUACCAUUUUUGUUGAUGGAUUACUUGCCAUUGUUAUUGACAGAGUGUUGUCCGGAUUCGGCAAUAUCUAAGCUAAUUAAAUGUGGUAGGACAAAAUCUGUUCAAUUAGCUGACUACAUUGCUAAACAGGCAAGUGAAAAAAAAUGUCAAUUUUAAAAAGUAAAAGGUUUUAAUUAAUUGUGGAUGAAACUACAGACGUAUAUAUGAGGAAAUGUAUUGUUUUAGUUGCUCGUUACUUCGACGGUGUUGGUUCUGUACAAGAUAGGUUUAUCGCUUUAUUAGAGAUCACUAAGGCAGAUGCAACUUCAAUUUUUCAAAUUAUAACAGAUUUUUUUUUCUGCACAUAACGUUCCUUUAAAAAAUUGAUCGGGUUGGCAACAGACGGAGCUAACGUUAUAACUGGUGAUGUUGGUGGACUUAAAAGAUUACUUACUAAUGAAACUGACUUGUUUUAGAUUAAAUGUACAUGUCACUCACUCCACCUCUGCUCUAGUUACGCAUGUAAAAUGUUGCCAAAAAAAUAUUGAGCUUCUUUGUCGUAAUAUAUACACUUUUUUCUCUCAUAGUCCCAAAAGAAUUAACGAACUAAAAGAAUUUCAAGAAUAUUGUUUUGUGAAAUCUCAUAAAAUAUUAGGUGUUUGCCAAACGAGAUGGUUAUCUUUAGAAUGUGUUAUUUCAAGAAUUAUUGAACAAUGGGACAGUUUAAAAUUGUAUUUUAUAUCACGUUUUUAUGAGGUAAAUGGUAUAAGAGCAGCAGAACUGGCAGAAAGUAUGUCUAAUAAAGUCAAAACUUAAAUUGAAUUAUUAAACCAAAUUAAUUCCAGAUUUGAUUUUAAACGUGAAGAUAUCAAACUUUUACAAAUAAUUACCUCAUCAAAAGUACUCUCUAAAGAAGAUUUACCAAUAUUGUCCCUUGUUCUAAAAUUUUCGAAUCUCAUAGAUUGUGAUCCUGAUAUUAUUAUUUCUCAGUGGAAUUUGAUAAGAUUAUCGGACAUCAAUCUUUCAACUGAUUUAAAUAUUGAUUUAUUUUGGGAUCAAAUAAAUUCAAUUAAAAUGGUUUAAAUGAGAGCACUUAUGUUAAUUUGGCUAACUUUGUUUUUAAUUUGCUUUCAUUGCCACAUACAGUGUCUCACAUAAAUAUUCGAAUUUAUUAUUUUUUAUGAAUUACUGUGUUAUUUUAUGA